GCCCAGGUAGCUCAGUCGGCAGAGCAAUGGACUGAAAAUCCAUGUGUCGAUGGUUCGAUUCCGUCCCUGGGCA
rnacentral:tRNA from 1 species